AUACGGAGGAAGCAAGCGUUAUUCGGAAUCACUGGGCGUAAAGGACGCGUAGGCGGGUUUGUAAGUCAGGUGUGAAAUCCUACAGCUCAACUGUAGAACUGCACUUGAAACUACAGACCUAGAGUAUGGAAGGGGCAGAUGGAAUUAGUGGUGUAGGGGUAAAAUCCGUAGAUAUCACUAGGAAUACCGAAAGCGAAGGCGAUCUGCUGGGACAUUACUGACGCUGAGGCGUGAAAGCGUGGGGAGCAAACAGGAUUAGAAACCCUAGUAGUCC
rnacentral:rRNA from 1 species